rnacentral:misc_RNA from 1 species
UUGUGAUGGCAAGCCCUUAAAGGCUGUACUGGAGAUGUGGAACCAUAUGUUACUUUUCAGUGCUCAAAAUGAUUAGAUGCCUUCAUGAUGGAUGCAAUGCUUUUGCCCAACUUGAGGCAGACAGACAUCAUUUAUUACAAAGAAGUUAGAAUCUACGCUACUUGCUGUCUUUGCUUUGGUGUGAAAUACUGGUGGAGAAUCAAAUUUCGCUGUUGAGUU